UCUUCGGAGAGUUUGAUCCUGGCUCAGGACGAACGCUGGCGGCGUGCCUAAUACAUGCAAGUCGAGCGAAUCGAUGGGAGCUUGCUCCCUGAGAUUAGCAGAGGACUG
rnacentral:rRNA from 1 species